rnacentral:rRNA from 1 species
GACGAACGCUGGCGGCGUGCUUAACACAUGCAAGUCGAACGGUAAGGCCCUUCGGGGUACACGAGUGGCGAACGGGUGAGUAACACGUGGGUGAUCUGCCCUGCACUUCGGGAUAAGCCUGGGAAACUGGGUCUAAUACCGGAUAGGACCACUGCCUACAUGGGUGGUGGUGGAAAGCUUUUGCGGUGUGGGAUGGGCCCGCGGCAUAUCAGCUUGUUGGUGGGGUGAUGGCCUACCAAGGCGACGACGGGUAGCCGACCUGAGAGGGUGACCGGCCACACUGGGACUGAGAUACGGUCCAGACUCCUACGGGAGGCAGCAGUGGGGAAUAUUGCACAAUGGGCGCAAGCCUGAUGCAGCGACGCCGCGUGAGGGAUGACGGCCUUCGGGUUGUAAACCUCUUUCAGCACCGACGAAGCGCAAGUGACGGUAGGUGCAGAAGAAGGACCGGCCAACUACGUGCCAGCAGCCGCGGUAA